rnacentral:lncRNA from 1 species
UGAUUCGAUCACAUAUUCAAUUUCAGCAUAUGUUCAAUUUCAACAUAUAAAGUAGAUCCUAGUGCUUUAUAUUUUAUAUAUGCAUGAUGUAGAUUAAAAGGUGUUUUAAUCUUCUAUUCUGCUAUGAUGUUUAGAAAAAAAAAAUUUUGAAACAUAAAUACAUGCUUUGACAUUGAAAUUCCAAUACUUUAUGGCUGAUCA